UGGGCAAUUCCAGUGAUCCCUGUGCUGAUUCCACUCUUGUCGGCGUCUUUCUUCUUCCCGAUGAUACUCUUCUUGCUGGCGCCGAUAUCGAUCCUCACGUUGUUGCCAAGUUUCCCGAGGUCUCCUGUGAGUUAUUACGAUACCAGACCGGGGAGGUCUUCCUGAGUUAGUUCCCUCCUGGAUCAAGCCUUUUCCUUUUGCAUCGGCAGUAGUAAUCUGAU
rnacentral:lncRNA from 1 species